CUGCAAAUGGCAUGAUUUCAUUCUUUUUUAUGGCUGACUAAGACUUGUACCCAGCCGAUUUCAAGGAUAUGGGCCAUCUUGGAGUUUUGAUGUAACCUCUGCCACAUUUUGUUUUGUUCACGACUACAUUCCUAGUUGCCUAAUAGUGCCCAGUAUAUGAUUGCAGCAGCCAUGAAAUUAAAAGACGCUUACUCCUUGGAAGGAAAGUUAUGACCAACCGAGACAGCAUAUUAAAAAGCAGAGACAUUACUUUGUCAACAAAAGUCCAUCUAGUCAAGGCUAUGGUUUUUCCAGUAGUCAUGUAUGGAUGUGAGAGUUGGACUAUAAAGAAAGCUGAGCACUGAAGAAUUGAUGCUUUUGAACUGUGGUGUUGGAAAAGACUCGAGAGUCCCUUGGACUGCAAGGAGAUCCAACCAGUCCAUCCUAAAGGAGAUCAGUCCUGCAUGUUUAUUGGAAGGACUGAUGCUGAAGCUGAAACUCCAAUACUUUGGCCACCUGAUGUGAAGAACUGAUUCAUUGGGAAAGACCCUGAUGCUGGGAAAGAUUGAGGGCAGGAGGAGAAGGGGACGACAGAGGAUGAGAUGGUUGGAUGGCAUCACCGACUCAAUGGACAUGGGUUUGGGUGGACUCCGGGAGUUGGUGAUGGACGGGGAGGCCUGGUGUGCUGCGAUUCAUGGGGUCGCAAAGAGUCGGACACAACUGAGCAACUGAACUGAACUGAGAUACAAUUUUAUUUAAAAAAAAAUGUGUUGCUAAAUCCUUCAUUAGAUCUAGUAAGUGUCUGAGAUGCAAUAGGCCUCCUGCAUGUCUUCCUUCCUUUUGCCAGUGAGGGUUUCCAGUUACACAAAUGUAGGUCUAAGGUCACUGGAGAAGAGAUUUUCAGCCUCGCACCAUUCAGGCAAAUGUUUAAUGUCC
ensembl:lncRNA